UCCCAGGGGCGGGGCGACUGCACUCGCGUUUCCUCCUUCGGCGCCAUUUUGUAGCGCAGAGAAUCCGCAAAUAAAGAGCGGGCGGCAGCGCGGGGUGGGGGAGGCGGCGACCGCGGAGGCCCCGGGUCUGGGCGCUGAGGCGGGUGCGGAAGGUGCCGCCCUUGAUGUGACGGGCCAGGCCCGGGCAGUCGGUGCGCGGGGACAGCGAGGCCUCCGCGCCGCAAGCGGGAGUUCACAAUGACUAAUGAAGAACCUCUUCCAAAGAAGGUUCGCCUUAGUGAAACAGACUUUAAGGUUUUGGGUAGAGAUGAACUGAUCCUAAGGUGGAAGCAAUAUGAAGCAUAUGUACAGGCUCUGGAGGGCAAAUACACAGAUCUUAAUUCUAAUGAUGUAACUGGAUUGAGGGAGUCUGAAGAGAAGCUGAAGCAACAACAGCAAGAGUCUGCCCGAAGAGAGAAUAUCCUGGUGAUGAGACUGGCAACGAAGGAACAGGAAAUGCAAGAGUGUACUAAUCAGAUUCAGUACCUCAAGCAAGUCCAGCAGCCUAGCGUUGCCCAACUGAGAUCAACAAUGGUGGAUCCAGCCAUCAACUUGUUUUUCCUAAAAAUGAAAGGUGAACUGGAACAGACUAAAGACAAACUGGAACAAGCCCAAAAUGAACUGAGUGCCUGGAAAUUUACGCCUGAUAGAGGCCUGAUGGCGUCGGACUAUUCUGAAGAAGUGGCCGCCUCUGAAAAUUUUUUCCUUUCUAGAACAUGUAGACACGUGCAAAGUGGUUCUAUUUGAAGAAAUAGAGGGAGAAACAGAAGUCUUAAGUCUGUGGCACACUGUGUCUACAGACAGUUUGGAGGAGAGAGAACCUAGAGAUUUUAAAUCAUGAAUUGAACAUGUAAAAUUCCAGUAAAAUGUAAAAAUGGAAUAUGCUUCGCUCUUAACCUUGAGCCUAGUGACUUAGAGACACUGUAAGUCAGUUUUGCCAAUAAGACUGUGGACUUCCUGCUUGUUCACUGAACUGCUGGGUCAAAACUCAAUGAGGUCAGCACAACUCUAAGCUUCAAGGACUUGGCAUUGGACAUCACAUCAAGAUAAAGAACAGGUUGCUGUAUUAAGCACAUUUGCAGGCUUCCAGGACUUUACGCAGCCAGAUUCCUUCUGGAGCAGCCCAUCUGAAAGAUGUGGGAGAGUCAGUUGGAAGACUUUAAAUGGGACAGAGUUGGCAGAACUUUUAAAAAUCUGAAGUGUUAAAAGCUUGAAUGCUUAAGCAGUAGCUAAUUGAGAGAUGAUUUGAAGUGACUUUUGGCUGGGCACCAGUUUUGCUGUGGAUGUGAAGCAUACUAGCAAUUUUUUUUUCUUUUUAAUAUGCAAAAUUUCAUUCUGCCCUUGUGACUUUAUUAUACAGUCUCAAGCUGACCUCCUCAGGCUUGUUACCUAAUACAAGUCCUGAAGUUCAAUCACAAACCUGAUUAAUUCUGUUUUUCUAGGGCUUUCAUUUCCUGUGGAAAAAGAGGACUGCUUCAUUAUAUAUGUUGCUGAACCUCAAGGAAGGCAAAACAUUUGGUUACUUUCCUAGCUUUGGCAGACCAACAGUGGUAGAGGGCUUUAGCUAUCAAUUUUAUUUUGUGAUGAAAUAAACAUUAUUGCCUAUAUAUUAAUUUGCAUACUAGUUCCUAUAAUGCUCUACAUUGCAGUUUUAACAUGAAGAUUUAAGAUAUGCAUGUGUUCCUGAUUUUGCAAAAAGCAGAAUAUCAAAUCUGCUUUUUCCCUAUGAAAUACUUUUUGGUCUGAUGUUUCCUGGCUUUUGAUCACCAGACACUCUUAAAGGGACACUGUCAACUUUCAAAUCUGGUUAAACUAAAAAAACAAAAAACAAAAGCUGCUUAUACUUGCUCCUGGAUCCCCCUGCUGCCUUGUAUUUUUCAGCUCCAUUUUCUGUUAUCUCCUCUCACACUCGUGAGUGAGAAGGAGCUGACUGUAGCUAUUGGGGAAACAACAAAGCAAUGUAUAUAGUGUCAAAAGUACAAAAUUGGAAAAAUAUAAAUAUUUAAUCAUUCAGGUGCAUUAAGAAGUUUUCAUGCUGAUCAAAAAAAAAAUCAUUAAAUUCAAUAUUCUCCAAAUCUGACAGUUUAAAAAAAAAUAGCUGAAUAGCUAGUAAAAUAUUUUUAGUACAUAAAGUGAAGGAUCACUUUUAAUGUUUGUAACUCACUGUCUGAUUACCAG